rnacentral:rRNA from 1 species
GUGGGGAAUUUUGGACAAUGGGCGGAAGCCUGAUCCAGCAACGCCGCGUGAGUGAUGAAGGCCUUCGGGUCGUAAAGCUCUGUCGGCCGGAACGAAUGAGUGCCACCUAACACGUGGCGCGAUGACGGUACCGGCAAAGGAAGCACCGGCUAACUCUGUGCCAGCAGCCGCGGUAAGACAGAGGGUGCAAGCGUUGUUCGGAAUUACUGGGCGUAAAGGGCGUGUAGGCGGUGGGGUGUGUCCGGUGUGAAAGCCCUCGGCUUAACCGAGGAACGGCAUUGGAAACUACCUCGCUGGAGUGCGGGAGAGGGUAGCGGAAUUCCCAGUGUAGAGGUGAAAUUCGUAGAUACUGGGAGGAACACCUGAGGCGAAGGCGGCUACCUGGACCGUAACUGACGCUGAGACGCGAAAGCGUGGGGAGCAAACAGGAUUAGAAACCCGAGUAGUCC